GAUGAAGAACGUAGCGAAAUGCGAUAAGUAAUGUGAAUUGCAGAAUUCAGUGAAUCAUCGAAUCUUUGAACGCACCUUGCGCCUUUUGGUAUUCCGAAAGGCACACCUGUUUGAGCGUCAUGAAUACCUCAAUCUCCAUCUUUUCUUCGGAUUGAUGGGUGACUUGGAUGUUGAGCCCUGCUGGUAUGCUAUAUCAGCUGGCUUUAAACUUAUUGGCCGGCUCUGUACUGGAUCGGUUUGACUCGACGUGAUAAUAUUAUCGUUGAGGAUGCAUGUCUCAUGCAGCCGGAAAGUAUCAAAGCAGCUUCUAGCUUGCCUUUAGUGCACUUUUACAUUUUAGACCUCAGAUCAGGUGGGACUACCCGCUGAACUUAAGCAUAUCAAUAAGCGGAGGA
rnacentral:misc_RNA from 1 species